rnacentral:rRNA from 1 species
GUGCCAGCCGCCGCGGUAAUACCGGCAGCCCGAGUGAUGGCCGAUCUUAUUGGGCCUAAAGCGUCCGUAGCUGGCCGCGCAAGUCCAUCGGAAAAUCCACCCGCCCAACGGGUGGGCGUCCGGUGGAAACUGCGUGGCUUGGGACCGGAAGGCGCGACGGGUACGUCCGGGGUAGGAGUGAAAUCCCGUAAUCCUGGACGGACCACCGGUGGCGAAAGCGCCUCGAGAGGACGGACCCGACAGUGAGGGACGAAAGCUGGGAUCUCGAACCGGAUUAGAUACCACUGUAGUCC